rnacentral:rRNA from 1 species
AACGAACGCUGGCGGCAGGCUUAACACAUGCAAGACGAGCGCCCCGCAAGGGGAGCGGCAGACGGGUGAGUAACGCGUGGGAAUCUACCCAUCUCUACGGAAUAACGCAUGGAAACGUGUGCUAAUACCGUAUACGUCCUUCGGGAGAAAGAUUUAUCGGAGAUGGAUGAGCCCGCGUUGGAUUAGCUAGUUGGUGGGGUAAAGGCCUACCAAGGCGACGAUCCAUAGCUGGUCUGAGAGGAUGAUCAGCCACACUGGGACUGAGACACGGCCCAGACUCCUACGGGAGGCAGCAGUGGGGAAUAUUGGACAAUGGGCGCAAGCCUGAUCCAGCCAUGCCGCGUGAGUGAUGAAGGCCCUAGGGUUGUAAAGCUCUUUCACCGGUGAAGAUAAUGACGGUAACCGGAGAAGAGGCCCCGGCUAACUUCGUGCCAGCCGCCGCAGUAAAAC